AUGGACAGCACGCUCUCCUUCUGGGUGAUCUUGGGUCUCCUGAGAGCAGGACACGUGGAACCUGGGGUCCACCAAACUCCUCGCCACUAUGUGAUAGAGAUGGGACAGGACGCAACUCUGAGGUGUAAGCCCAUUUCUGGUCAUUUUUACCUCUAUUGGUACCGGCAGACCCCAGAAAAAGGAGUGGAGUUUCUGAUUUCUUUUACUGACAAAGUUGUUGCAGACAAGGCAGACUUUUUCAAGGAUCGAUUUUCAGCUGAGAUGCCUGACGGGUCAUCCUCCACCCUGAAGAUCAGACCUGCACAGCUGGGAGACUCAGCCACGUAUCUGUGUGCCAGCAGCUCAGCCACAGCCUUGCAGACACGUUUCCUGCCCUUGCAAAAACUCAACAGUUCUCCUCUCUUUCCAGGCUCUUGCCAGCCCUUCCCUGCCUGUGGAUGGGGCAGGGAGAUGUGUGGUUGA